rnacentral:rRNA from 1 species
AUGCAUGCCGCCGUCGCUGGCGACGCCCUCCGCAAACGCAUGGCCUCCCGAAGCGAGCGCCGGGAGGACGACGUCGCCCUCCUCCGCGACCACCUGGACGCCGAGCGGGUGGAUGACGCCGUCCGCGAGCGCGCCAUCGCCCUGUUGGAUGCCGCCCUCCACGGACACGCCGUGAGGCAGCUGGAGGACGCCGUCCGCGAGCGCGCAAUCGCCCUGCAGGACGCCGCCCUCCACGGACACGCCGUGAGGCAGCUGGAGGACGCCGUCCGCGAGUGCGCAAUCGCCCUGCAGGACGCCGCCUGUCGUGGGAACGCCGUCGCGCGAGUGGUCGACGCCGUUCUUGAGUGCUCCGUCGUCCUUCUGGACGGCGCCCUCUGCGGGAAUGCCGUAGUGCGGAUGGACGUCGCCGUCGUCAAGCGCGCCGUCGUCCGGGGCGCUGCAGUCAGCGAGCAUGCUGUCCUCCGCAAGCAGGCUAUCAAGCACGAGCUCGCUGUCUUCUACAGGCUGGCUGUCUUCCCACAAGUAGCUAGACUCCAUGAGGUUGAGCUUGAGAGGGAGGAGAAGAAGAUGGAGUAG